UAGGGAAUCUUCGGCAAUGGACGGAAGUCUGACCGAGCAACGCCGCGUGAGUGAAGAAGGUUUUCGGAUCGUAAAGCUCUGUUGUAAGAGAAGAACGAGUGUGAGAGUGGAAAGUUCACACUGUGACGGUAUCUUACCAGAAAGGGACGGCUAACUACGUGCCAGCAGCCGCGGUAAUACGUAGGUCCCGAGCGUUGUCCGGAUUUAUUGGGCGUAAAGCGAGCGCAGGCGGUUAGAUAAGUCUGAAGUUAAAGGCUGUGGCUUAACCAUAGUAGGCUUUGGAAACUGUUUAACUUGAGUGCAAGAGGGGAGAGUGGAAUUCCAUGUGUAGCGGUGAAAUGCGUAGAUAUAUGGAGGAACACCGGUGGCGAAAGCGGCUCUCUGGCUUGUAACUGACGCUGAGGCUCGAAAGCGUGGGGAGCAAACAGGAUUAGAUACCCUGGUAGUCCACGCUGUAAACGAUGAGUGCUAGGUGUUAGACCCUUUCCGGGGUUUGGUGCCGUAGCUAACGCAUUAAGCACUCCGCCUGGGGAGUACGACCGCAAGGUUG
rnacentral:rRNA from 1 species